GAUGAACGCUGGCGGCGUGCCUAACACAUGCAAGUCGAGCGAACGGACGAGAAGCUUGCUUCUUUGAUGUUAGCGGCGGACGGGUGUGUAACAUGUGGAUAACCUACCUAUAUGACUGGGAUAACUUCGGGAAACCGUAGCCAAUAACGGCUAAUAUUUUGAACCGCAUGGUUCAAAAGUGAAAGACGGUUUUGCUGUCUCUUAUAGAUGGUUUCGCGCUGCAUUAGCUAGUUGGUAAGGUAACGGCUUACCAAGGCAACGAUGCGUAGCCGACCUGAGAGGAUGAUCGGCCACACUGGAACUGAGACACGGUCCAGACUCCUACGGGAGGCAGCAGUGGGGAAUCUUGGGCAAUGGGCGAAAGCCUGACGGAGCAACGCCGCGUGAGUGAUGAAGGUCUUCGGAUCGUAAAGCUCUUUUAUUAGGGAAGAACAGAUGUGGAAUUAACUGUGCACAUCUUGACGGUACCUAAUCAAAAAGCCACGGCUAACUACGUG
rnacentral:rRNA from 1 species